UUAAGUUAUUAAGGGCGCACGGUGGAUGCCUUGGCACUAGAAGCCGAUGAAGGACGUUACUAACGACGAUAUGCUUUGGGGAGCUGUAAGUAAGCUUUGAUCCAGAGAUUUCCGAAUGGGGAAACCCAGCAUGAGUUAUGUCAUGUUAUCGAUAUGUGAAUACAUAGCAUAUCAGAAGGCACACCCGGAGAACUGAAACAUCUUAGUACCCGGAGGAAGAGAAAGAAAAUUCGAUUCCCUUAGUAGCGGCGAGCGAAACGGGAAGAGCCCAAACCAACAAGCUUGCUUGUUGGGGUUGUAGGACACUCUAUACGGAGUUACAAAGGACGACAUUAGACGAAUCAUCUGGAAAGAUGAAUCAAAGAAGGUAAUAAUCCUGUAGUCGAAAAUGUUGUCUCUCUUGAGUGGAUCCUGAGUACGACGGAGCACGUGAAAUUCCGUCGGAAUCUGGGAGGACCAUCUCCUAAGGCUAAAUACUCUCUAGUGACCGAUAGUGAACCAGUACCGUGAGGGAAAGGUGAAAAGCACCCCGGAAGGGGAGUGAAAUAGAACCUGAAACCGUGUGCUUACAAGUAGUCAGAGCCCGUUAAUGGGUGAUGGCGUGCCUUUUGUAGAAUGAACCGGCGAGUUACGAUUUGAUGCAAGGUUAAGCAGUAAAUGUGGAGCCGUAGCGAAAGCGAGUCUGAAUAGGGCGUUUAGUAUUUGGUCGUAGACCCGAAACCAGGUGAUCUACCCUUGGUCAGGUUGAAGUUCAGGUAACACUGAAUGGAGGACCGAACCGACUUACGUUGAAAAGUGAGCGGAUGAACUGAGGGUAGCGGAGAAAUUCCAAUCGAACCUGGAGAUAGCUGGUUCUCUCCGAAAUAGCUUUAGGGCUAGCCUCAAGUGAUGAUUAUUGGAGGUAGAGCACUGUUUGGACGAGGGGCCCCUCUCGGGUUACCGAAUUCAGACAAACUCCGAAUGCCAAUUAAUUUAACUUGGGAGUCAGAACAUGGGUGAUAAGGUCCGUGUUCGAAAGGGAAACAGCCCAGACCACCAGCUAAGGUCCCAAAAUAUAUGUUAAGUGGAAAAGGAUGUGGCGUUGCCCAGACAACUAGGAUGUUGGCUUAGAAGCAGCCAUCAUUUAAAGAGUGCGUAAUAGCUCACUAGUCGAGUGACACUGCGCCGAAAAUGUACCGGGGCUAAACAUAUUACCGAAGCUGUGGAUUGUCCUUUGGACAAUGGUAGGAGAGCGUUCUAAGGGCGUUGAAGCAUGAUCGUAAGGACAUGUGGAGCGCUUAGAAGUGAGAAUGCCGGUGUGAGUAGCGAAAGACGGGUGAGAAUCCCGUCCACCGAUUGACUAAGGUUUCCAGAGGAAGGCUCGUCCGCUCUGGGUUAGUCGGGUCCUAAGCUGAGGCCGACAGGCGUAGGCGAUGGAUAACAGGUUGAUAUUCCUGUACCACCUAUAAUCGUUUUAAUCGAUGGGGGGACGCAGUAGGAUAGGCGAAGCGUGCGAUUGGAUUGCACGUCUAAGCAGUAAGGCUGAGUAUUAGGCAAAUCCGGUACUCGUUAAGGCUGAGCUGUGAUGGGGAGAAGACAUUGUGUCUUCGAGUCGUUGAUUUCACACUGCCGAGAAAAGCCUCUAGAUAGAAAAUAGGUGCCCGUACCGCAAACCGACACAGGUAGUCAAGAUGAGAAUUCUAAGGUGAGCGAGCGAACUCUCGUUAAGGAACUCGGCAAAAUGACCCCGUAACUUCGGGAGAAGGGGUGCUCUUUAGGGUUAACGCCCAGAAGAGCCGCAGUGAAUAGGCCCAAGCGACUGUUUAUCAAAAACACAGGUCUCUGCUAAACCGUAAGGUGAUGUAUAGGGGCUGACGCCUGCCCGGUGCUGGAAGGUUAAGAGGAGUGGUUAGCUUCUGCGAAGCUACGAAUCGAAGCCCCAGUAAACGGCGGCCGUAACUAUAACGGUCCUAAGGUAGCGAAAUUCCUUGUCGGGUAAGUUCCGACCCGCACGAAAGGCGUAACGAUUUGGGCACUGUCUCAACGAGAGACUCGGUGAAAUCAUAGUACCUGUGAAGAUGCAGGUUACCCGCGACAGGACGGAAAGACCCCGUGGAGCUUUACUGUAGCCUGAUAUUGAAAUUCGGCACAGCUUGUACAGGAUAGGUAGGAGCCUUUGAAACGUGAGCGCUAGCUUACGUGGAGGCGCUGGUGGGAUACUACCCUAGCUGUGUUGGCUUUCUAACCCGCACCACUUAUCGUGGUGGGAGACAGUGUCAGGCGGGCAGUUUGACUGGGGCGGUCGCCUCCUAAAAGGUAACGGAGGCGCUCAAAGGUUCCCUCAGAAUGGUUGGAAAUCAUUCAUAGAGUGUAAAGGCAUAAGGGAGCUUGACUGCGAGACCUACAAGUCGAGCAGGGUCGAAAGACGGACUUAGUGAUCCGGUGGUUCCGCAUGGAAGGGCCAUCGCUCAACGGAUAAAAGCUACCCCGGGGAUAACAGGCUUAUCUCCCCCAAGAGUUCACAUCGACGGGGAGGUUUGGCACCUCGAUGUCGGCUCAUCGCAUCCUGGGGCUGUAGUCGGUCCCAAGGGUUGGGCUGUUCGCCCAUUAAAGCGGUACGCGAGCUGGGUUCAGAACGUCGUGAGACAGUUCGGUCCCUAUCCGUCGUGGGCGUAGGAAAUUUGAGAGGAGCUGUCCUUAGUACGAGAGGACCGGGAUGGACAUACCUCUGGUGUACCAGUUGUCGUGCCAACGGCAUAGCUGGGUAGCUAUGUGUGGACGGGAUAAGUGCUGAAAGCAUCUAAGCAUGAAGCCCCCCUCAAGAUGAGAUUUCCCAACUUCGGUUAUAAGAUCCCUCAAAGAUGAUGAGGUUAAU
rnacentral:rRNA from 1 species